UACGUAGGGGGCAAGCGUUGUCCGGAUUUAUUGGGCGUAAAGAGCGUGUAGGCGGUCUGGUAGGUCCGUUGUGAAAACUCGAGGCUCAACCUCGAGACGCCGAUGGAAACCCUCAGACUAGAGUCCGGAAGAGGAGAGUGGAAUUCCUGGUGUAGCGGUGAAAUGCGCAGAUAUCGGGAAGAACACCCGUGGCGAAGGCGGCUCUCUGGGACGGUACUGACGCUGAGACGCGAAAGCGUGGGGAGCAAACGGG
rnacentral:rRNA from 1 species